CAGAGGUCUCAAGCGUUGUUCGGAUUCAUUGGGCGUAAAGGGUGCGUAGGUGGCGCGCUAAGUCAGGUGUGAAAUUUCGGAGCUUAACUCCGAAACUGCAUUUGAUACUGGCGUGCUUGAGGACUGGAGAGGAGACUGGAAUUCACGGUGUAGCAGUGAAAUGCGUAGAGAUCGUGAGGAAGACCAGUGGCGAAGGCGGGUCUCUGGACAGUUCCUGACACUGAGGCACGAAGGCCAGGGGAGCAAACGGGAUUAGAUACCCCGGUAGUCCUGGCAGUAAACGGUGCACGUUUGGUGUGGGAGGAUUCGACCCCUUCUGCGCCGGAGCUAACGCGUUAAACGUGCCGCCUGGGGAGUACGGUCGCAAGAUUA
rnacentral:rRNA from 1 species